rnacentral:tRNA from 1 species
GCGGGCGCGCCGAAGUUGGAGAGUCGGGGCCGGCUGUAAACCGGUUGCCCAGUGCUGAGCAGGUUCAAAUCCUGCCGCCCGCA